ACGGAGGGUGCGAGCGUUGUCCGGAAUCACUGGGCGUAAAGGGCGCGCAGGCGGCGCGAGCAGUCGGCGGUGAAAGCCCGGAGCUCAACUCCGGGUCGGCCGUCGAUACUCUCGUGCUUGAGCACUGUAGAGGCAGGUGGAAUUCCGGGUGUAGCGGUGGAAUGCGUAGAGAUCCGGAAGAACACCGGUGGCGAAGGCGGCCUGCUGGGUUCUGGCUGACACUGAGGCGCGACAGCGUGGGGAGCAAACAGGA
rnacentral:rRNA from 1 species